GAGCCCGUAGCUCAAUGGUUAGAGCGUUUGACUUCUGAUCAACGGGUAGCGGGUUCG
rnacentral:tRNA from 1 species